rnacentral:lncRNA from 1 species
CCGCUUAAUCCCUCUCUAAUACUUUGUUUGGUUCAGUGUAUUGCUAUUACAGGUCUAAUACACUACUGAUCUAAUCCCCAAAAUCUACCGUUUUCUAAUCCCUUCCUUGAGCUCAGAUUAGGUGCUGCUUCAAUUUUGGUCCCUGUUUUACCCUCCCGAUUCACGCUUCUGUUUUACCCAAAAUCCACGUUCUGUUUCUUCCUUCUACCUUUCUUCUCCACUCUCCUCACC